GCUUCGGCUCGUGCACGGUGUGCGCACCCACUGACCUGCGCCCACUGUCUGGCACUCCCUAGUGAGAUGAACCCGGUACCUCAGAUGGAAAUGCAGAAAUCACCGUCUUCUGCGUCGCUCACGCUGGGAGCUGUAGACUGGAGCUGUUCCUAUUCGGCCAUCUUGGCUCCUCCCCCGUUGGAUGGUUGACGCUUCCUGAUGAUUAAAAUCAAUAUACACAUUCCAGGUUGGAACAGAAGAAAUGCAGUAUUCCUCUGAGGACAUCACUUCUGGAGAUGCUGCAUGGGGUCUGCUCUGAGAUCUAACUCUAUGGGAAGAUUAAAUGAUGAGGGCCAAGAAAUCAGACCCAGGAAUACAUGGUUUCAGGCCUCAUGUUUAAGUCUCUGGUAGUUCUUUAUAGCAAUGCAAGAACGGACUAAUACACCUGGACACUGAUCUCAUCUGGUGAAAGACUGUGGGUAAUCAAAGCAUUUCUGCGGAGUGGUUGCAAGGCAUGCCUGCGACGAGACAGGUUGUUGGCAGUGAGUGAGUGUAGCAUUGUUCUUUCUCAAGAUUGCUUUAGCUGUCUUCUUGAUCUUGUGGUUCCAUGUAAAUUUUAUGGUUUCAUACAAUUUUUAAUAUUACUUUUUUUGUUUCUGUAAAUAAAUGUCAUUGAAAUUUUAACAGAGAUUGCAUUCAGUCUGUAAAUUGCUUUGGGUAGCAUGGACAUUUUAACAAUAUUAAUUGUUCCAGUCCAUAAACAUAGGACAUCUUUCCAUUUAUUUGUGUCUACUUCAAAUUCUUUCAUCCACGUUUUACAGUUUUCAGUGUACAGAUUUUUCACCUCCUUUGUUAAAUUUAUUCUUUGUUACUUUAUUCUUUCUGACACUGUUGUAAAUGGAACUUUAUAAAGAAUAAUAUGUUUCGGGUGUUUAUUAAAUAUAGAAACACAGCUGAUUUUCGUGUGUUGAUUUUGAAUCCUGC
rnacentral:lncRNA from 1 species